rnacentral:pre_miRNA from 2 species
GGGAGGUGUGAUCCCGUGCUUCCUGGGAGGUGUGAUCCCGUGCUUCCUGGGAGGUGUGAUCCUGUGCUUCCU